UACGUAGGGUGCGAGCGUUAAUCGGAAUUACUGGGCGUAAAGCGUGCGCAGGCGGUUUUGUAAGUCUGACGUGAAAUCCCCGGGCUCAACCUGGGAAUUGCGUUGGAGACUGCAAGGCUGGAGUCUGGCAGAGGGGGGUAGAAUUCCACGUGUAGCAGUGAAAUGCGUAGAGAUGUGGAGGAAUACCGAUGGCGAAGGCAGCCCCCUGGGCCAAUACUGACGCUCAUGCACGAAAGGCGUGGGGAGCAAACAGG
rnacentral:rRNA from 1 species